rnacentral:rRNA from 1 species
GACGAACCGUGCGAACGUUGUUCGGAAUCACUGGGCUUAAAGGGCGCGUAGGCGGCUGUCCAAGUCCGGGGUGAAAUCCUGCAGCUUAACUGUAGAAGUGCCUUGGAUACUGGAUAGCUCGAGGGAGGUAGGGGUCUGUGGAACUUCUGGUGGAGCGGUGAAAUGCGUUGAUAUCAGAAGGAACGCCGGUGGCGAAAGCGACGGACUGGAUCUCUUCUGACGCUGAGGCGCGAAAGCUAGGGGAGCAAACGGG